rnacentral:tRNA from 1 species
GGCUCUUUAGCUCAGUCGGUAGAGCAAGGGACUGAAAAUCCCUGUGUCGGUGGUUCGAUUCCACUAGGAGCCACCA